rnacentral:lncRNA from 1 species
GUGGGAGUAUUGGGCUGUCGGAACAAUGGAUUGUCGGACUAUUGGGUUGUUGUACUAAUGGGUUGUCAGACUAAUUGGCUGUUGGACUAAUGUGCUGUCGGACCAAUAGGUUUUCGGACUAAUGGGUUGUCUUUCCAAAGGGCUGUCCGACUAAUGGACUGUCGGACCAAUGGGCUGUCGGAAUAAUAGCAUGUAACCUAUAUGGCCUGGUUAACUAAAGAAAUUUCUAAAAUUUACCAUUUGAUCUUAGGAGAACCUUUCUGGAGCCCUCUUUUCGUCAUACAUACACUACUAUAUUGUUCGACUUUCAUAUAGAUUUUUUUUUAUCUUUUCUGUUAAUUUAAAAAAGAAG